AGAUCACACAGCCUUGGGGACGCCGGGUUGGGGCCAGUCUGAGGUCUCUUCGUCUUUCUGCUCCGGUGGAAGGACUUGAGGGGAUCGCCCGGGAGGCCCAUGUGCUGCUACUCCCUAAGGUCGAGCCUGUCAUGGGGAAUCCACUCCCCUGGGGCCAUUCCUGGAGCCAAAGGCGAGGAAACCCAGGAAGGUCGAUGUUAGAUCCACAGGACAUUAAACUCAGAGGUCGCCCAGUCCAGGGAUGGCAGCUCCCACCUUCUCCUCAUGUGUGCCCCUGCAGGCACUGAGCUUGGGACCGGCCUCAAGACACCAGACACACUCCAGCUGACGAUGGAUGGUGUCAGAACUGAAGUACCCUCGCCAUCUUUUCUCCUUACGUUCCCCUCCCCAUUUACAGAUGGGAGAAGGCAGGCUCAGCAAAGGAAAGGGACAGUGACUAAGCUCACAGGUCUUUGUCCAGGCCCUGGCGUGGCCAUCAGUAAGUGAUGAAACCUCUCUGAACCUCCACUUACUCAUCCGUAAAAUGGGGGCAAUGCGGCCUGCCUCAGGGACUGCUGGGAAGAUUCAACGAGCUAACAUGUGUGAAGUGCCCAACAGUUUGAACACAGCUCUCUCCGACCUCCGGGCCUUUGCACAUACUGUUCCCUUCCCUUGGGAACUGCCUCUGCCUGGCUAAGGCCUUGAGACUGGUGUGGAGAUCUUGAGCACAGAUCUGGAGCCAGAUUGUCUGGCAGCGAAUAGCUCCUCUAUCUCUCAGCUUCAUCGUCUGUAAAAUGGGGAUAAUAAUAGAACCUUCCUCACAGGGUGGUUCUGAGGACUCAGUGGGUUAGUAUACAUGAAGUGUUUGGAACAGAGCCUGGCGAAUGGAAAAUAGUAAGGGAACCAUUAUUACUAAGAUUCCUCCUUCCUCAUUUCUGGUCUCAGCUCAGACCUCACUUCCCUGGGGAAUUCUUCUCAUACCUUCCAGAGGCUGGUACGCAAUAAAAUGAGUAAAUAAAUGAG